rnacentral:rRNA from 1 species
AAAACAUCUUUUCUUGUUUAUUAUUUGAAAUUUGACCUGCCCAAUGAUUUAUUUAAUGGCCGCGGUAUUUUGACCGUGCAAAGGUAGCAUAAUCAUUAGUUUAUUAAUUGUGAACUAGUAUGAAUGGUUGGACGAAAUAUUAACUGUCUCAUUUAUAUUUUUAUAAUUUAAAUUUUGAGUUAAAAUGCUUAAAUUUAUUUAAAGGACGAGAAGACCCUAUAGAUCUUUAUUAUUAUUUUGUUUAAAGGAUUUUGGUUUAAGUUAUUUUGUAAAUAUUAUUAAUUUUUUAGUUGGGGUGACUUUAAGAUAAAAUUAACUCUUUUUAUUAUUUAAUCAAUUAUUUUUGUUUAUAUGACCUUUUAUUAUUGUUAAAAGAUUUAGAUACCUUAGGGAUAACAGCGUAAUUCUUUUUAAGAGUUCUUAUCGACAAAGGAGAUUGCGACCUCGAUGUUGGAUUAAGAAUAUCUUUAGGUGUAGAUGCUUAAAAUUUAAGUCUGUUCGACUUUUAAAAUCUUACA